UACGGGGGAGCAAGCGUUGUUCGGAUUUACUGGCGUAAAGGGCGCGUAGGCGGCCAGCGCAAGUCAGUUGUGAAAUCUCCGGCUUAACUCGGAAAGGUCAACUGAUACUGCGCGGCUAGAGUGCAGAAGGGGCAACUGGAAUUCUCGGUGUAGCGGUGAAAUCCGUAGAUCUACGAAGGAACGCCAAAGCGAAGGCAGCUCUCUGGGUCCUACCGACGCUGGGGUGCGAAAGCAUGGGGA
rnacentral:rRNA from 1 species